rnacentral:lncRNA from 1 species
UUUAUUGUCAAAAUAUAUUCACCAUACAUGUAAGAAAGAAUGUACAGUAUAAUCCCAAUAUUACUUUCAUUAUUAUUUUUAUCUUUCGAGGCAGAGUCUCUGUCACCAAGGCCGGAGUGCAGUGGUGUGGCCUCGGCUCACUGAAGCCUCUGCCUCUCAGGUUCAGGUGAUUCUCCUGCCUCAGCCUCCCGGGUAGCUGGGAUUACAGGCCUGUGCAACCAUACCUGGCUAAUUCUAUUUUUUUUUUUCAAGUUUAGAAUUCCUGGUUUAUUGGGAAAACUUCAUAAUGAAAACUUCAAUUGCCCUUUUCCAUGACUUACAAAAUAAUAAUGUGAUAUUUAAAAUGAAUUGUUUUUCAUUAUGUAAGUGGAAAUGGUAAAAAAUAGUAAUAACCCAUUUGAUGCAUCAUAUAUAUGCUAUUCAGGGAAACUCAAAUCCCUGAAUUCUCCUGUGGCAUGUUUUACAUCAGACAUUUUAAAUCUGUUUACCAAGAAAGACCAGGAUUUUAACUAUAUGUAGGUUUCUACUUACAGUUGCAAUCUAUCAGAAGCCUGUCUAUAUGAUUAGAGCCCAGAUACAUCUGAAGUUUAGAAAAGCAAGCCAUUUUUCUCCUUAGGCUGUUUUAGUGGCACUUUUGUGACAGGAAGGGCUCUCCUAAUCCUUUAGUACACAACUUAACCAGAUCUAUCAGUCAUGAUAAAUUAGACUGAUAUAUCUAAUCUAUCAGUCCAUCUUUCAAUCCAGUUACUCUGGUUCUGAACCUAUAAACACAAAACACUACAGAUUUAUUAAUAUAGCAUUUUCCAACACCCUAACCCUAUACAGAACUUUAAAAGAGAAAAUUUCAUCUAAAUAUUUCACACCUAAGAAAGCCUUACUAACCACGGCAACAGGUUUGGACCACAAAACAAUACUUUCUUAGAUGAUAUAUAGAGUCAACAUGAAGCUUAGCAAGAAUGAAUUAUUCAGGGCUGGGCGCGGUGGCUCACGCCUGUAAUCCCGGCACUUUGGGAGGCUGAGGUGGGCAGAUCACGAGGUCAGGAGAUCGAGACCAUCAUGGCUAACACGGUAAAACCCUGUCUCUACUAAAAAUACAAAAAAUUAGCCGGGCGUGGUGGUGGACGCCUGUAGUCCCAGCUACUCGGGAGGCUGAGGCGGGAGGAUAGCGUGAACCCGAGAGGCAGAGCUUGCAGUGAGCCGAGAUCACGCCAUCACACUCCAGCCUGGGAGACAGAGUGAGACUCCGUCUCAAAAAAAAAAAAAGAAUUAUUCAGGAUAUUAAUGAGAAAUUCUCACAAACAAUAUGCAUUUAGGAAACUAUUUUGCUUCCUUAAAUAGUUUGAAGGCUUGAAAAAAAAAGCUUUUUUUUUGGCAUUUCUUUUAGAAUGUUUGGUCAUUGACAAUUUUUGUUUGUUUUGAGACAGAGUCUUGCUCUGUUGACCAGGCUGUAGUGCAAUGGCACAAUCUCGGUUCACUGCAACCUCCACCUCUCUGGUUCAAGCGAUUCUCCUGCCUCAGCCUCCCCAGUAGCUGGGACUACAGGCAUGUGCCACCAAGCCUGGCUAAUUUUUGUAUUUUCAGUAGAGACGGCGUUUCACCAUGUUUGCCAGGCUGGUCUUGAACUUGUGACCUCAGGUGAUUGGCCUGCCUCGGCCUCCCAAAGUGCUGAGAUUACAAGCGUGAGCCACCACACCCGGCCAGUCAUUGACAAUUUUUACCAUUACCUUCCUCUUCUCCUUAGCCCUUAACAGACCAAGUCCAUUCUAUUUGGAAAUAACAAGAACUUGAUCCAAUUAUUAAAUCUUGGAAACCAUCUCAUUUUUACCUUAUAAAGUGUUAAGUUUCAUGUUCAUAUUCUCUUACAAACAUAGCAUAAAUGUUAUGGGUAGAUAUAAGGAAAUAUUGGCAUAGUAUAGGUAAUUAGUGAAAAGACACAACUUCACAAAACAUAAUAAAAGAUGAACAUGAAACUAUAACACUACUUUAAAAAUAUUUUCUCCCAAAUUAUUUUAGCAUUUUUGACUAGUUUGAGAAUAUGAACACUGCCAAAAAAUAAGUUCGAAGUAGCCUAGAGAAACAGUUUCUUCUUCUGGAUGUACUUCACGGGGUAAAUUACCAGGGAGAUGAUCUGGAACACAGCAGCCAAGGCAAGGAGACCUCCAAUCACUCUUAGGAAGACAAGUAUCUGGGGUACACACAGGACGAAGAAGGAGAGGAUGAAACAGAUCACCAGGAUGCUGACGCCCCAGAAAAGCAUGGCAGCGCUGCUCGACCCCACGCGUACUCCAUGAGGCUGUGGCAGCCGUCCUCUUAGGACCCGCUGCCGCCGCCGCCGCCCCUGUGGAAGGAAACAUCUCCACCACAGCGAGGACGUCUGGACGCGGUCGCUCGACUGCAGCCAGCCGCGGCCGGCCAGCGCGAUGAUGUCGAAGGCGAUGGCGCUGAGUAGGAGCAGGGUCAGGAUCCAGCGGCAGCGCUCGCAGGCCAGGCCGCAGC